UGCGCUGACGGCGCUGUUAUGAUUCUGUCACGAAGCGAUUUGAAUCGUUUGUGUUUUCGUGAGGUUGCGAAGAACGAAUUUUAUGGAAAAAUAGUCUGUUUUUGCAUAAUGGCAGCACAGCGAGCGCUUCCUCAAAGCAAGGAGGCUUUAUUGAAGUCUUACACGACAAGGUUAAAGGAUGAUGUGAAGUCUAUGCUGGAGAAUUUCGAAGAGAUUAUAAAACUAGCCAAAGGGGAAAGCGAUUCGCAGUUAUCUCGUAUGACACAAUGCGAACAGGAUACGUAUGAAAUGCAUGUCAGAGCAGCCAAUAUCGUACGUGCUGGGGAAUCUCUGAUGAAGCUAGUGUCGGACAUAAAGCAGUACCUGAUACUUAACGAUUUUCCUUCCGUGAACGAAGCUAUAGCACAAAAUAGCAAAUUGUUUAGAACGAAACAAGCGGAAUGCGACCAAAAAUUAGCUUCCUUAAGGGACGAUAUGGCUGCAGAUUUAUACGACUUAGAAGAAGAAUAUUACACUUCGAUAUAUAAAUAACAUUAGCUUUAGUUCCUCGAGACUGUACAAAAGCGUACUCGUCGGUUGGACCAUGCAUCGAUUUCAAACAACAAAAAGAAAAACCGUGAUUUGUCUGUUCAAUAAACUGUAUAUAUUUAUUUAAAUAAAUAAGAAUAGUUUUGAUAGUACAUUCCUAUUUCUUAAUUGGGAGCCUGACACGCGAGAAGAUAGACUUAACGACAAUGAUUCAGGCGUAAUUGUUUCACUUUUAUUACUUGAAUACUUUGUAUAACACACAGACGAUACAUCACACGAUACUUCUAAUUGAAAUAGUACGGAGUUCCCUUCGACCGGAGCAGACAGAGAUUACAUCGACGGUUGAACGAACGACCACCCGUUGGGAUAACGAAAUAAACGCACGUCGUCAUAGUGAAAAUUUUUGGAAUGUUCCAUCUUCGUAAUCUCGUUUACUCCGUAUACGUGCUGCUGAAACGACAAACUGAGCUUCCGUCGACACGGUACUGUUCCAUCAACUAAUUGGGAAGCAGCGAUUUACGCGAUACAGAAGGAAAAGUAACAAAAAAUAUCACAGUGUAAAAUGCAACGCUGUGACACAGACUCAUCAAGUGUCGAUCGAACGUGGAAUUAACCCAUUGAUUGCCACUGUACAGCUGUUGUACAUUUCAUUAGGUA
rnacentral:misc_RNA from 1 species